GCCAUGCACCCGUCACGCGGUACCGUCGUGCCGAUAUGACGACGGCGAGACGGAAGCCGGUGGGAACCCGGCACGGUCGCGCCACUGUGUGCGAGGCCCUUGGGGCGCCUCGUGAGUCAGACCCGUGGCCGUCGUCCUUGUGCACCA
rnacentral:ncRNA from 2 species